UGGGGAAUAUUGCACAAUGGGGGAAACCCUGAUGCAGCGACGCCGCGUGGAGGAAGAAGGUCUUCGGAUUGUAAACUCCUGUUGUUGAGGAAGAUAAUGACGGUACUCAACAAGGAAGUGACGGCUAACUACGUGCCAGCAGCCGCGGUAAAACGUAGGUCACAAGCGUUGUCCGGAAUUACUGGGUGUAAAGGGAGCGCAGGCGGGAAGACAAGUUGGAAGUGAAAACCAUGGGCUCAACCCAUGAAUUGCUUUCAAAACUGUUUUUCUUGAGUAGUGCAGAGGUAGAUGGAAUUCCCGGUGUAGCGGUGGAAUGCGUAGAUAUCGGGAGGAACACCAGUGGCGAAGGCGGUCUACUGGGCACCAACUGACGCUGAGGCUCGAAAGCAUGGGUAGCAAACAGGAUUAGAUACCCUGGUAGUCCAUGCCGUAAACGAUGAUUACUAGGUGUUGGAGGAUUGACCCCUUCAGUGCCGCAGUUAACACAAUAAGUAAUCCACCUGGGGAGUACGACCGCAAGGUUGAAACUCAAAGGAAUUGACGGGGGCCCGCACAAGCAGUGGAGUAUGUGGUUUAAUUCGACGCAACGCGAAGAACCUUACCAAGUCUUGACAUCCUGCGACGAUGCUGGAAACAGUAUUUUCCUUCGGGACGCAGAGACAGGUGGUGCAUGGUUGUCGUCAGCUCGUGUCGUGAGAUGUUGGGUUAAGUCCCGCAACGAGCGCAACCCUUAUGGUCAGUUACUACGCAAGAGGACUCUGGCCAGACUGCCGUUGACAAAACGGAGGAAGGUGGGGAUGACGUCAAAUCAUCAUGCCCUUUAUGACUUGGGCUACACACGUACUACAAUGGCGUUAAACAAAGAGAAGCAAGACCGCGAGGUGGAGCAAAACUCAGAAACAACGUCCCAGUUCGGACUGCAGGCUGCAACUCGCCUGCACGAAGUCGGAAUUGCUAGUAAUCGUGGAUCAGCAUGCCACGGUGAAUACGUUCCC
rnacentral:rRNA from 1 species